rnacentral:rRNA from 1 species
UUAACGCGAAGAACCUUACCAAAUCUUGACAUCCUUUGACAACUCUAGAGAUAGAGCUUUCCCCUUCGGGGGACAAAGUGACAGGUGGUGCAUGGUUGUCGUCAGCUCGUGUCGUGAGAUGUUGGGUUAAGUCCCGCAACGAGCGCAACCCUUAAGCUUAGUUGCCAUCAUUAAGUUGGGCACUCUAAGUUGACUGCCGGUGACAAACCGGAGGAAGGUGGGGAUGACGUCAAAUCAUCAUGCCCCUUAUGAUUUGGGCUACACACGUGCUACAAUGGACAAUACAAAGGGCAGCGAAACCGCGAGGUCAAGCAAAUCCCAUAAAGUUGUUCUCAGUUCGGAUUGUAGUCUGCAACUCGACUACAUGAAGCUGGAAUCGCUAGUAAUCGUAGAUCAGCA